rnacentral:lncRNA from 1 species
CCUCAUAACUAGAGCUUCUGGUCGAAAAACCUUCUCCCUAGAGGACCUAUUUUCACUCACUUUAGAUGAUCUCAACAGCCUUCUGGUUAGAAAGGAUCUCUAGACAGAGAGAUGUACCUGCUGGAAUUUUCCAUCAGCUGGAGAGCAAGGACAUCAGUCGUCACGCUGAUGGGCGAAGCCGCACUUUCGCCCUUGGCCGUGGGUGCAUCUGCGGCAAGCGCUCAAGGGCCACCCUGCCAGGGCCGCCCUCUCCUCCUCCUCCCCCGUCUCCUCCUUCCCUGCUGUCUGCACACCGACUCCUCCAGGAAAACCUCCACCGUGUCUCCUGGCUCAGAUACCGAGACAUGCAGAGAUCGCAAAGAGCUGGUCUUGGGAACUUCUGAACAUGAUUGAUUCAAAAGAGAAUUCAGUCUUAGAAGUUCUCCAUGAACUGAAUUAAAAUGGAAAAAAGUAGCAACCCAGGAGAACAUACACAGAGAUAACAUCACUGGAACGUUUCUCUUUAAAAACCAAUUCUUCUGACAGCAACAGCCAAGUCAACAGACUUCCCGGGGGUCAAAGGCAAAGAGGUCAGGACCAUGUGAGUGUGGUCCUUGUGGUCAGAUGCCCAGGGUGGAGACAGAGCCCAGAGGGUGGGCACCACCCAUCCCCCAGCCGUGGGCACCGCCGGAAGGCUUCCCGAGAGUCACAGGUCCACUGUCCAAGUGACUGCUCUUCUUCGGCUUUCUGUAAGACCAAUCUUAAAAGAAACGGGAGUCUGUUUCAUAAAUGAUGGAGCUCCAUAAGUAUAAUCCCAUUUGAAAAAAAAAAGCAAUCUCCCAAAUUUCUUUUAUGGAGGGACUUAUCUGGAACCAGAUAUGGCCAACUCUCAAAUGAGUUUUCUCCCAAGCAUAUCCUCCUUCUUUUGUUCAUGAGAAACAAUAUAAGUUUGAACAUUUUUGAUGGGAAAUUACCUGCAGCAAGAAAAUGACCCAGAGCAGCGAUUCACACUGGUUAGGAGACUAUCCUUAUACUAGAAGACCUAUGGGAAAUAAAGCUUUUCUCUGAAACCUGGGUCUGUCUAAUAUAUUAAAUCAAGAGGGUCAUCCUUUCCUUGGCCAUAGAACAGGGAUCUGCAAACCAGAGCCCCCAG